rnacentral:pre_miRNA from 13 species
CAGUACGCUCAGCUUUGAGAACUGAAUUCCACGGGUUGUGAUUGCAACUCUGACAGACCCGUGGGGCUCAGUUCUUGAGCUGGGGUACCUCUG